ACAGAGGGCGCGAGCGUUGUCCGGAAUCACUGGGCGUAAAGGGCGCGUAGGUGGCGGCGUAAGGCCGCGGUGGAAGUUCGGGGCUCAACCCUGAAUCGGCCGCGGCGACUGCGUCGCUUGGGCACUGUAGAGGCAGACGGAAUUCCGGGUGUAGCGGUGGAAUGCGUAGAGAUCCGGAAGAACACCGGUGGCGAAGGCGGUCUGCUGGGCAGUGAGCUCGCAAGAGCUCAAUAGCCGACACUGAGGCGCGACAGCGUGGGGAGCAAACAGGA
rnacentral:rRNA from 1 species